GCGAGGAUGGCGGAAUUGGCAGACGCGCUGGACUUAGGAUCCAGUGGGGCAACCCGUGGGGGUUCAACUCCCCCUCCUCGCACCA
rnacentral:tRNA from 1 species